GGUUGUGGCUCAGUGGUAGAGCGCUUGCCUAGCACCUACCAUGUACAAGGCACUGGGUUCAAUCCUCAGCACCA
rnacentral:tRNA from 1 species